rnacentral:rRNA from 1 species
CUGAACCAGCCAAGUAGCGUGAAGGAUGACUGCCCUAUGGGUUGUAAACUUCUUUUAUAUGGGAAUAAAGUUUUCCACGUGUGGAAUUUUGUAUGUACCCUAUGAAUAAGGAUCGGCUAACUCCGUGCCAGCAGCCGCGGUAAUACGGAGGAUGCGAGCGUUAUCCGGAUUUAUUGGGUUUAAAGGGAGCGUAGGUGGUGAUUUAAGUCAGUUGUGAAAGUUUGCGG